CGCCAGCAUCUGUUUGACCCAGAAAGAGCCAAAUGCGUCACCAGACGUGCAGCCUUUACCUAGGGAUGUGCAGGAAGUCUACAUAAGUGGAAUGAAUUUCGGACCAGAGGAAGAAGUUAUUUGUACUCGGACUCUCAAAUCUUCUCGAAAAGUCUCAUCAUCCACUCCAUCUUCUGCUCGUCCUAUAUCACGUGCCGAUGGACGUACACUGAACCUUCACUUCAAAUAACAAGCUGCCAAUAUGCCGUGUACAAAAGUGAAGGUAUCCCAUCAGUCUCAGAUGAACUCACGACUUUUGCUAUAGAAAAUCCAGAGGAAGAUGCUGCUGUUGCAGACGCAAGUGAACAAAUUCUGGAUGUCAAUGAAAAUGAACCUGCUUUUUUAGAUCAAAAAAUUUCUACCACAUAUAUUUACACAGCGGCAAGUAUCGUAGAACACAAGAUAUACGAUAUUGGAUGUUACGCAUUGCAGCUACCAAAUAUUAAUAUAAGCGACAAGAAAAGACAACAGGUAUCAAGAAACACUUGGGUUCCUGAUAAAUGUUACAAGUUUGUAGUUAUAGUAAUAGGGUCAUAAAGUAGAAAGUUCAAUUUAGGUUGGCUAGAAAAAUAUAAAUGGCUUGCAUAUUCCGAUAGAUUGAAGGUCGCAUUCUGUAAGAACCUGUAUACUUUAUGCAUCUAUAUCUCUAAAUGGCGUUGGAAAAGGUAAACAUUAGUUACCGGGGCGUUUAGUUAAAAAUCCACUUACAAAUUGCAAAAAGGUCUUAGAAAUGUUUCGUGAACAUGAAAGCACUUCAUUUCACAAAGAAACAGAACUGCGGGCUACAGACUUACUAAAUGUAUAUGACGGAAAAAGAGAGAAUAUUGCCAUGCAACUGAAUACCAAAGCAAAAGAAGAAGCUUUGAAUAAUAGGAAAAAGAUCACAGCUAUAGUUGAAACGUUAAUAUUUUGUGGGCGUCAAGAAAUAGCAAUAAGGAAUUACGCUGAUUCAGCCCGCUUAUCUUUGGAUGAACCUGAUCAUAACAACGGAAAUUUUAGAUCUCUUGCGUUAUCGUGCAAGCUAUGGUGAUGCACAAUUAUGUGAUCAUAUUAAAAAUACGGGAAAUAAUUCAAUGUAUACAAGCCCGAAAAUUCAAAAUGAAUUAAUUGAUUUAUGUAGGGAAUAUAUUCAAGAUAAACUUAUCUAUCGCAUUAAGAAAGCUAACAUCUACACUGUUUUAGCAGAUGAAGCUAGAUAUAUUAGUGAAAUAGAACAAUUUUCUUUAUGCAUAAGGUAUACUGACGAAGACUUGAUGAUAUUGCGCGAAGAUUUUUUAAUGUUCGUUUCUAUAACAGAUUUCAGUGGGGCAGGAAUAGCAAAUGUUUCAAAACAAGCUGUUAUAUCUUUAGGCCUUGAUUUAAAUCUCAUGCGAGGACCAGGAUACGUUGGCGCAUCGGCAAUGAGUGGAGAGUUUCAAGGUGUUCAAGCCCAUAUUAACAAUGAAUAUCCAUUGGCACUCUACACUCAUUGCACUUCUCAUUGUUUGAAUUUAAGUUUGAAUGAUGAUUCAAAGGUAAUGUUUGUGCGCAACACUUUCGGUUCUUUAAAAGAAUGUUGCAACUACUUUAGAAUAUCGAGUGUGCGAAGCGACAUUUUGAAAGAGCAGUUAUAAUUAUAUAAUGUUACUAAACGCAUAGAAGUUCAAUCUACAAAUGAUAUAAAUGUCUCUAAAGCCAGAAAACAACCGGUAGUAUGAUGGUUAAUGCAGUAUUGCGAAACACGCUGGACAGAUAGAAGCGAUUCUACAACUUUAUUUGUAGAUGCCUAUAUUCCCGUUGUGAAGUCUUUAGAAAUCAUUAUUAGGGAAAAACGGGACGGUACUGGAAAAGCGAACUGGUUGCAUGGUAGGAUUUGCACUUUCGAUUUUUUGAUUGGUUUGCAAGUUUCGGAAAAGAUACUGAGCUUAACUCACAACCUAUCACUGUAUUUGCAAAGUAAAUUCGUCGAAUUAAGUACUGUGAUUAGACAUGUCGAAAUAAUUAUAGGGAAAUUUGGAGAAAUCAGGAACAAUGUUGAAGAGUUUCGAAAGCUAUUUGAUGAAGCUACGACGAUUGGCGUUGAAGUGGGUAUCACUCCAUUAAUUCCCCGAGUAGUUGGAAUUCAAGUUCAUAGGGAAAACUAUUCCUCAAACACACCUGAGGAAUAUCAUACAAGAGCAUUGUUCAUACCGUAUUUGGACGAAUUAAUAUGCUCCUUAACUCAAAGAUUCUUAAUGCAUAACAAUAAGAUCGUCACUCUUCCGUGCGUCCUUCCGUUUUCAGCAUAACAUCAAAGUUUAAUGAUGUUAAGCUGGCAUUUGAAUGUUACAAAAACGAUCUGCUGUCAACGAAUGAUAAAAAUUGGGAUUCAGAGUGGGAAACAUGGGUCUAUAAGUGGAGAACCCAAAGCGCAGCAUUACCAAAAUAUGCUAUUGAAGCGUUAAAGGUUUGCGCAAAACAAUUAUUUCCAAAUAUAUACGUUCUUUUAAAAUUGUUAGCGACCUUAGCUGUUAGUACAGCGAAUACGAAUUGUUGUGGAAUGAAUUAUAG